rfam:Ictidomys tridecemlineatus contig066791, whole genome shotgun sequence.
UAGCUCAGUUGGUAGAGUGCUUGCCUCGCAUGCACAAGGCCCUGGGUUCAAUCCCCAG